rnacentral:misc_RNA from 1 species
AAAGUCGUAACAAGGUUUCCGUAGGUGAACCUGCGGAAGGAUCAUUAACACGAAUUUUAUCCAAUAUCAAACUAAACGCGAACUUUUCCCCUCCCUAUCUCAAGUAUAUCAUAUACUUGAUUUAGGCUAACCUUUUAUAACAAUUUUUUUAACACCUUUUAAUUUUAUAAGUCACAGGUUAACGCCUUGACUAACUAACUAAAAAUUUUACUUAAGAUGUCAACUUAUGUUGUCUCUUAAUUAAUAUUUUUUCUUUACGAAAUAAAUAUUAGUAUAUAAGAACAACUCUUAGCAAUGGAUAUCUUGGUUCUC